rnacentral:rRNA from 1 species
GUAGGAGGCAAACGUUAUCCGGAUUUACUGGGCGUAAAGCGCGUGUAGGUGGUUCUGUAAGUAGGGCGUGAAAGCUCCUGGCUCAACUGGGAGAGGCCGUUCUAAACUGCAGAGCUAGAGGAUGGUAGAGGGAGGUGGAAUUCCGGGUGUAGCGGUGGAAUGCGCAGAUAUCCGGAGGAACACCAGUGGCGAAAGCGGCCUCCUGGACCAUUCCUGACACUCAGACGCGAAAGCUAGGGUAGCAAACGGGAUUAGAGACCCCGGUAGUCCUAGCCCUAAACGAUGUAGACUUGGCGUCGGUGGCUUAAUCGUCAUCGGUGUCGUAGCUAACGCGAUAAGUCUACCGCCUGGGGACUACGGCCGCAAGGUUAAAACUCAAAGGAAUUGACGGGUCCCCGCACAAGCAGCGGAGCGUGUGGUUUAAUUCGUUGCUACACGAAGAACCUUACCUGGGUUUGACAUAGCAGUGGUAGGAAUACGAAAGUGGACCGACCCUUCGGGGAGCUGUUACAGGUGUUGCAUGGCUGUCGUCAGCUCGUGUCGUGAGAUGUUCGGUUAAGUCCGCUAACGAGCGCAACCCUUGCCGUGUGUUACAAGUGUCACACGGGACCGCCGGUAUUAAGUCGGAGGAAGGUGAGGAUGACGUCAAGUCAGCAUGACCUUUAUAUCCAGGGCUACACACACGCUACAAUGGUCAGUACAAUAGGUUGCCAAGCCGCGAGGCGGAGCCAAUCCUAAAAAGCUGGCCUCAGUUCAGAUUGCAGGCUGCAACUCGCCUGCAUGAAGUUGGAGUUGCUAGUAACCGCAGGUCAGCUAUACUGCGGCGAAUACGUUCCCGGGGAUU